GGUCAGAUAUAGUUGCAACAGAGCAGGGUGUGCCCGGUUGGGGCAUUGCCAUCCUGGUGCUGGCAGCUGUCAUACUUUUCUUCAUGCUUGUCCUCCUCAUACUCCUGUUGCUGUUUUGGUGCUGUUGGUGGAGACAGCGUGGCUUCAUGAAUGUGUCUGAUCCAGACCCGACGGGCUAUUAUAACCCCGACAUUCCUAUGUACUCCACUCACAGCACGUAUGACUCACACAACGGCAAGUCACUGGAUUCAGACUCAGAGAGAACUCCUAAAAACCGGACUGGAACAUACAAGGUGAACAAGUGAACACCCAGGGCUUAAAGUCAAAUGGUGUGACUUUAGAAUUAAACAAUGAAAGACACAAACUACUCACCAAUAUUG